rnacentral:rRNA from 1 species
GACGGAGGGUGCUAGCGUUGUUCGGAAUCACUGGGCGUAAAGGGCGCGUAGGCGGCGCCGCAAGUCGGCUUUGUGAAAGCCCGGGGCUCAACCCCGGAGGUGCGGCCGGGACUGCGGUGCUGGAGGCCGGAAGAGGAGGGUGGAAUACCCAGUGUAGAGGUGAAAUUCGUAGAUAUUGGGUGGAACACCGGUGGCGAAAGCGGCUCUCUGGUCCGGUACUGACGCUGAGGCGCGAAAGCGUGGGGAGCAAACAGGAUUAGAAACCCCUGUAGUCC